GCGCUCCUAACACAUGCAAGUCGAACGAGAAAGCGGGGGCAACCCUGUGAGUAAAGUGGCGUACCGGUGAGUAACACGUGGGUGAUCUGCCUUUUGGUGGGGAAUAACCCUGGGAAACCGGGGCUAAUACCGCAUAAGCCCCCUUUUCAAUAAAGGUCGGGAAAGCCGAAAGGCGCCGAAGGAGGAGCCCGCGGCCGAUUAGCUUGUUGGUAGGGUAACGGCCUACCAAGGCGAUGAUGGGUAGCCGACCUGAGAGGGUGAUCGGCCACACUGGAACUGAGACACGGUCCAGACUCCUACGGGAGGCAGCAGUGGG
rnacentral:sRNA from 1 species